rnacentral:piRNA from 1 species
UACUGCUUUUUUCAGUGUCUCCAUAAAGU